GUGCUCACUUCGGCAGCACAUAUACUAAAAUUGGGACAACACAGAGAAGAUUUGCAUGGCCCCUAAGCAAGAAUGACACGAAAUUCGUGAAGCAUUCCAUAUUUUU
ensembl:snRNA U6 U6 spliceosomal RNA